UUCCCCUACGGGGGGCAGCAGUGAGGAAUAUUGGUCAAUGGGAGAGAUCCUGAACCAGCCAAGCCGCGUGAGGGAAGACGGCCCUAUGGGUUGUAAACCUCUUUUGUCGGGGAGCAAGACCCGCCACGAGUGGCGGAGCGAGAGUACCCGAAGAAAAAGCAUCGGCUAACUCCGAGCCAGCAGCCGCGGUAAUACGGAGGAUGCGAGCGUUAUCCGGAUUUAUUGGGUUUAAAGGGUGCGCAGGCGGACCAUCCAGUCAGCGGUAAAAUCGUGGGGCCCAACCACAUCCCGCCGUUGAAACUGGG
rnacentral:rRNA from 1 species